UGGAUCGUUAUGGAAAAAAAGGAAACUUCCUGCUUCGUAAUUAGGAGGAAGCUAGAGCCCUAAUGAGCUCGUUAAGUGAAAACAAAUUAAUUUGUUCAGCAAACAUUUGUUGAGUCCUUGAGCCUAGUGGCUACAGAGGAGAACAGAGCCCAAGCCCUGCCCUCAGGAAGUUUCCAGUGUGGAGGAAAACAGGCAACUCCACGUGAUGCAAUAGAGGCGGGCCAGGGGUGGGGGCAGAUGAGGGGGGAUUGAGUCUGUUUGCAGCGGUCAGGAAAGUUGUGCCUUGGAGGAUGAGUCGGGAGCCUGAAAGCCUGGUACUCCCAGCAGAGCCUGAGACACGGAGGCCCAGGAGGGUCUGCAGCCCGAGCUCCUUCCUCCCUCACAGGGACCAGCAUCGAGGGCCAGAGACUGAGGUUCAGAGAGGGAUAGGAGGACGCUCAGAGCACACACCAGUCUCGGCCGGAAGGGAAGGCAGCUCCAAGUCAAUUGGCCUGUUACACAGACGGAAACUGAAGCCCAGGCUCUUGUGCUUUCCAGCUGUGCGACCUGAGCAAGGUGUAAGAAGCUUCCAUUUUCUCCAUGGUAAAGUGGCAUGAGAAGUGACCUCACGGGGUUACUGCAAAGAUUACACGCAGUGUUGGAUAAACACCGUUCACAUGUCUUAGCUUUCGUCAACCUACAGACAGCAUCAGCUAGGAUGAGAACAAGGUGUGCUUUCAGCAAAGGCAGCGUUCAAUACAGCCACAGAAUUCAAAGGAAAGAGGGUCUGGGGUUCUAGAAAGGCUUCCUGUAGGAGGUGACAGAGGAGCCCACUUUACAAAUGAAAAGUGCCCCAGCACCACUGAACAUCAUGAAGGAUCAGUGCUCAAGAUCAUUUUCCUGUCCGGAUUGAAGUCCAAAAUUGCUCUCUUCAUUCCCUACCUCUGCAUCUUCUGCUAUCCCAUCUUUAUGUAUUUGAAUUAAUGCUAACAUACUAUAU
ensembl:lncRNA